AAGACAUUAGUAAAAUGUAUAUUACACCACCUUGUCAAGGUGGUAUUGCAGGUUAAAUCCCUGCAUGUCUUA
rnacentral:tRNA from 1 species